GACGAACGCUGGCGGCGUGCUUAACACAUGCAAGUCGAACGGAAAGGCCCUGCUUGCAGGGUACUCGAGUGGCGAACGGGUGAGUAACACGUGGGUGAUCUGCCCUGCACUUCGGGAUAAGCCUGGGAAACUGGGUCUAAUACCGGAUAGGAGCCAUUUUUAGUGUGAUGGUUGGAAAGUUUUUUCGGUGUAGGAUGAGCUCGCGGCCUAUCAGCUUGUUGGUGGGGUAAUGGCCUACCAAGGCGGCGACGGGUAGCCGGCCUGAGAGGGUGGACGGCCACAUUGGGCCUAGGAUACGCCCCAGACCCCUACGGGGGGCAGCAGGGGGGAAUAUUGCACAAUGGGCGCAAGCCUGAUGCAGCGGCCCCGCGUGGGGGAUUCCGGCCUUCGGGUUGUAAACCCCUUUCGCUAGGGACGAAGCUUUUUGGGACGGUACCUAGAUAAAAAGCCCCGGCUACCUCCUU
rnacentral:rRNA from 1 species